rfam:Hordeum vulgare subsp. vulgare, WGS project CAJW01000000 data, contig: morex_contig_38615
CACAUACUCCCUCCAUCUGGAAACACUUGUCGUAGUAAUGGAUAAAAAUGAAUGUAUCUAGAACUAAANUACGUCUAGAUACAUCCAUUUCUCCGACAAGUAUUUCCAGACAGAGGGAGUAGAAA